rnacentral:rRNA from 1 species
UACGUAGGGGGCGAGCGUUGUCCGGAAUCAUUGGGCGUAAAGAGCGUGUAGGCGGGCCUGAAGGUCUGGUGUGAAAGCCCGGGGCUCAACCCCGGAGGGUCACUGGAAACCACAGGUCUUGAAUCUGGAAGAGGAGAGUGGAAUUCCUGGUGUAGCGGUGGAAUGCGCAGAUAUCAGGAGGAACACCGGUGGCGAAGGCGGUUCUCUGGCAUGUCCUGACGCUGAGGAGCGAAAGAUGUGGGGAGGCGAAACAGG